GUUUUGUGUGGAUUGACUGCUUCUUCGGGAGAGGAAAGUCCGGACACGAACAUUUGAAAAAGUGUAGCAGGUAGCAGGUAACCCCUGUCGUACGCAAGUAUAGAGGUGCGAGCAGUGACGAUGGACCCGAAAGGGAAAGACAUCUCUCGAGAUGAGCUCUAUGGUGACAUAGAGGUGAAACGGCUAAAUCCUUACCUUCGUGCAAGAUCGUGCUUAGUUCUUCGGAACUUCGAGAAUCGCUAGAGGUCAACGGCGACGUAGAUCCCAGACAGAUGGUCAUUUAAACAGAAUCCGGCUUACGAGCACAAAACUAAU
rnacentral:RNase_P_RNA from 1 species